UACAGAGGAGCCAAGCGUUGUCCGGAUUGACUGGGCGUAAAGCGCACGCAGGCGGGUGCGCGCGGGGGGGGUGAAACCGGGUGGCUUAACUGCCCGCCGCCAUCCCAUACGGCGCGCCUGGAGCCAUCCAGAGGUCGGUGGAAUUGCCGGUGUAGUGGUGAAAUGCGUAGAUAUCGGGAGGAACACCAGUGGCGAAGGCGACUACCUGGCCUGUUCUUGACGCUGAGGCGCGAAAGCUAGGGGAGCAAACGGG
rnacentral:rRNA from 1 species